rnacentral:rRNA from 1 species
CCCUGCUUUUGUGGGGUGCUCGAGUGGCGAACGGGUGAGUAACACGUGAGUAACCUGCCCUUGACUUUGGGAUAACUUCAGGAAACUGGGGCUAAUACCGGAUAGGAGCUCCUGCUGCAUGGUGGGGGUUGGAAAGUUUCGGCGGUUGGGGAUGGACUCGCGGCUUAUCAGCUUGUUGGUGGGGUAGUGGCUUACCAAGGCUUUGACGGGUAGCCGGCCUGAGAGGGUGACCGGCCACAUUGGGACUGAGAUACGGCCCAGACUCCUACGGGAGGCAGCAGUGGGGAAUAUUGCACAAUGGGCGGAAGCCUGAUGCAGCAACGCCGCGUGCGGGAUGACGGCCUUCGGGUUGUAAACCGCUUUCGCCUGUGACGAAGCGUGAGUGACGGUAAUGGGUAAAGAAGCACCGGCUAACUACGUGCCAGCAGCCGCGGUGAUACGUAGGGUGCGAGCGUUGUCCGGAUUUAUUGGGCGUAAAGGGCUCGUAGGUGGUUGAUCGCGUCGGAAGUGUAAUCUUGGGGCUUAACCCUGAGCGUGCUUUCGAUACGGGUUGACUUGAGGAAGGUAGGGGAGAAUGGAAUUCCUGGUGGAGCGGUGGAAUGCGCAGAUAUCAGGAGGAACACCAGUGGCGAAGGCGGUUCUCUGGGCCUUUCCUGACGCUGAGGAGCGAAAGCGUGGGGAGCGA